rnacentral:rRNA from 1 species
UGGGGAAUUUUGGACAAUGGGGGAAACCCUGAUCCAGCCAUCCCGCGUGUGCGAUGAAGGCCUUCGGGUUGUAAAGCACUUUUGGCAGGAAAGAAACGUCGCGGGUUAAUACCCCGCGGAACUGACGGUACCUGCAGAAUAAGCACCGGCUAACUACGUGCCAGCAGCCGCGGUAAUACGUAGGGUGCAAGCGUUAAUCGGAAUUACUGGGCGUAAAGCGUGCGCAGGCGGUUCGGAAAGAAAGAUGUGAAAUCCCAGAGCUUAACUUUGGAACUGCAUUUUUAACUACCGGGCUAGAGUGUGUCAGAGGGAGGUGGAAUUCCGCGUGUAGCAGUGAAAUGCGUAGAUAUGCGGAGGAACACCGAUGGCGAAGGCAGCCUCCUGGGAUAACACUGACGCUCAUGCACGAAAGCGUGGGGAGCAAACAGGAUUAGAUACCCUGGUAGUCCACGCCCUAAACGAUGUCAACUAGCUGUUGGGGUCUUCGGACCUUGGUAGCGCAGCUAACGCGUGAAGUUGACCGCCUGGGGAGUACGGUCGCAAGAUUAAAACUUAAAGGAAUU